UACAGAGGGGGCAAGCGUUGUUCGGAAUUACUGGGCGUAAAGGGCGCGUAGGUGGCCUUCUAAGUUGAACGUGAAAUCCCUGGGCUCAACCCAGGAACUGCGUCCAAGACUGGGAGGCUUGAAUCCGGGAGAGGGAUGCGGAAUUCCAGGUGUAGCGGUGAAAUGCGUAGAUAUCAGGAGGAACACCGGUGGCGAAGGCGGGUCUCUGGGCAACAACUGACGCUGAGGAGCGAAAGCGUGGGGAGCGAACAGG
rnacentral:rRNA from 1 species